rnacentral:rRNA from 1 species
UGCCAGCCGCCGCGGUAAUACGAAGGGGGCUAGCGUUGUUCGGAAUUACUGGGCGUAAAGCGCACGUAGGCGGACUUUCAAGUCAGGGGUGAAAUCCCGGGGCUCAACCUCGGAACUGCCCUUGAUACUGUAGGUCUUGAGCCCGGAAGAGGUGGGUGGAAUUCCUAGUGUAGAGGUGAAAUUCGUAGAUAUUAGGAAGAACACCAGUGGCGAAGGCAGCCCACUGGUCCGGUGCUGACGCUGAGGUGCGAAAGCGUGGGGAGCAAACAGGAUUAGAUA